AACGAACGCUGGCGGCAGGCCUAACACAUGCAAGUCGAACGCUCCGCAAGGGGAGUGGCGCACGGGUGAGUAACACGUGGGAACCUACCUUCUGGUACGGAACAACCAAGGGAAACUUUGGCUAAGACCGUAUACGACCUCCGGGUGAAAGAUUGAUCGCCGGAAGAGGGGCCCGCGUCCGAUUAGGUAGUUGGUGAGGUAACGGCUCACCAAGCCUUCGAUCGGUAGCUGGCCUGAGAGGAUGACCAACCACACUGGGACUGAGACACGGCCCAGACUCCUACGGGAGGCAGCAGUGGGGAAUACUGGACAAUGGGCGCAAGCCUGAUCCAGCCAUGCCGCGUGAGUGAUGAAGGCC
rnacentral:rRNA from 1 species